GUCGCGGCCAUGGCAGCGUUUUGUGUCUUUGGUCCUCAUCUCUCAGGGCGGUCGGAGCAGGCUCCCCCCGAGCCUUGUGCGCUCCCUCCCCACCCCGAGCUGUACGGAUCCCCUCGGGAGCCGCUGUGUCCCCGCUGCCCGUUUGCUGAGCGAGGAGCGGCACCGCACGGCGCUGGGCGGGACGGCGGGUGCUUUCCUGGCGGCGCGGGGUUCCCCACGCAGAACGUGCUUUCCCUGCGCGUCGGGCGGGGGUUUCCAGACCGUGCCCCCGGGCUGUGCCGGCCUGCGGGGCGCUCUGCACGCGGAGCUCUCCUCAGGAGGCUGCCGGUGCCUUUCCUCCUUCGUGUUUGAACUUUUUUACCUUUUCUUCGCGACGUUGGCUCAUGCAGGCUGCUAUGGGAGGGGGGUGCGUGGUGACCGCCUGCGCUUCGGUCACUGAAAGGCAAAGGGGAACAACGAGAGGAAGGCAAAACCGAGUGCAAAUUUCCACCGGCGUGUGUCAGCGCGUACAGAAAGCUGAAAAACUUCCUCAGCGGUGCUGCCGGAUCGCGGUAUGACAUUUCCUCUGGAGAAACAGCAAGCAGAAGAUGAGAAAGCCCCGCUUUGUGCGUGUGGUGACAGAAUGAUGGCGGGGUGUUCGCAUCGCUGAGCUGCGGCACAGAAACGCGGCAGGCAUUGCUGGAGGGCUCGUUAUGACACUGCCGGGUAAUCUCUUGUGGCUUUUCCAGUAAGGUGGAUUUGUGGACGAUUCAUCUCUUUUCUCUCAUGGGUUUGAAUUUUCUGUCAUGUGUGGUGACAUUAAUAGUAUGUCACAUUUGGAACGUAUAGCUGCAGUCAGGUAGUGCUAAAACACCAUUCAUUACAUUUCACUGAACUCCAGACAUAGAAAAGCUUCUCAUUUCAGCAGUUAAUUCAGACAGAGCUUUUUAAAAGUAAUUUUUUUAUCAGAUCUCCGAGGUGACACCUUAAGGAAGCUUCUGACAUUCAGAAGACAACACUGUUGGUGGAAAAAUGGAGCUAGAUCCAGAAGUGCCAUAUCUGAAGGAGGAUCAGGUGUGGGAUUUCACAUCAGUUGGACACAGGGAGUUCAGUAUCACAGAAGGACCUGAGCUCUGUAUGUGUGUGUAUGGCUUAAAUUCUGCUUUCAUGGAGCAAGAUGUAAUGCUCCCGGUUUCUGUACUUCAAGCAGACUAAAUGAAAUUAUACUGAAUCCAUUUCUAUCCAUUCCAGGAGGCUUCUUAACUUUUAACCAAAUGUUCUUCCAAAGAGAAAUAAUUCAGUGUUCCUCCUUAACUCCGUCCUGCAGCUUCCUGCCUGUGCUACUCCAGCCACAUCCCUGCCCUUUGCUCCUCCAUACCCUUUGGCCUCCUCCGGAUCCUGCAAUAGAAACUGCCCUUUCCUCCCCUCCCAGGCCUCCAGGCAAGCUGUUUCAGGCUCUGCCUUUCUACUAGGCAAGCAUCAUGUUGCAAUAAGGAAGAAGGGAGGGGGAGGAAUGAAAAAGCAGGCUAAAAUGCAUAUAAUAGCAGAAAUAGUGCAGCUGUCCUGAGCUGCCAGCCUUCUUUUUCUUGCUCUGACUCUUGAGGAUAGUAGCAGCUCCCCUAUUUCUCCUUUCCCAGCAAUUUCUUUGCAUUUACAAGGAAAAAAGGCAAGGGAGCUUUUCCUGCCUCCUCAAUGAUGGAUGGUCCUUUCUGUAUGUACUCAGAGAUGACUAAAGGUUUAUUUUUAGGACUGAAAUUCAUGAGGUGUGAUUAAUUAUCAGCAGCAUCCUAAGUCUGGAUUCAGCAUCAGGCAAGGGAACUCCAAAGGCAGGGAGAGAAGCACAGCAAUGCUUCAGACAAACACAAGCUGACAGCAGUAGGCUUCAACUUGGUUCUGAGCCUGUGGUACAACAUGAUGGGGCUGUCCCUUUCACCUCAGACUGAUGCCUCAGACAUCAAAGGUCACAGUUGGACUGAUAAACAAGAUGCUUUACUCUGCAGAUUCUUUGCUCUGGAGAAGGGGAAGAAAGGCUGAUAAAGCCCUCCUCAACUAAAGAGAAGGCUUUGCUUUCUGAGCAAGUCACAUGCACUCAUAGAGGUCAGAGUGCUAAUAAAAGCGUGACUGCCACGUUACCAGUGCUUGCGAAAAUAAACCUAAUGACAGUGUUGACUGAAAUAGCGAAGGUGAUAUAGCUGGUUUUUGGAGGCGGAACACAGUGACCCUGCAGCAUAUGUGCAUUAAGAAUGCCAGCAAUGAGUAGGUUGGGCAGCCCAAGAAGUAUCUGAUAGAACUGCACAUCCAGAAAUACUCUCCAGGUGGCCUGAUGAAUGUAAAUCUCCCCACGCUGUGAUUCUUCUAUGGUCUGUUCUCCAGUUUAUUGUUUCCACAGCGCUAAGACAUCUUCCUGUAAUGGUGCCUCUGUCACACACCCCUAAACGGCUCUGAAGAGAAGAAGGUGAAAAGACAGUGUUGUUUGCCUUUCCCAUUGCUACUGCUUUUCUCUCCAUUACAUUUAAUCUUCCGUUUAAGUACUGGAAGGCUGCAAUGUGGUCUCCCUGGAACCUUCUCCAGGCUGAACGUGUUUAGCUGUCUCAGCCCUUUAUAGGAGAGAUGCUUCAGCCCUCUGAUCAUCUUCAUGGUCUGCUUCUGGACCCACUCCAACAGAUCUGCAUCCUUCCUGUGCUGGGGUCCCCAGAUCUGGACACAGUACUCCCAAUGUGACUUCACAAGGGCUGAGCAGGGGGGACAGUCACCUCCCUCUUCCUGCUGGUCACCAUCUUUUGAUGCAGCCCAGGAUAGAGUUGGCCUUCUGAACUGCCAGUGCUCACUGCUGGCUCAUGUCCAUCUGUUCAUCCACCAGAAUCCCCAAGUCCUUCUUGGCAGAGCUGCUCUCAAUGAGUUCUCCCAGUCUGUACACACAUCAGGGAUUGCACUAACCCAGAUACAGCAUCUUGCACUUGGCCUUAUUGAACACCACUCUCAAGAUGGAAACUUACCUGCACGCUCCGUGGGAUCCAAUGCCCUCCUGACAUCCCUGUUUGGGGAAGCAAAGCUGGAAAAUAACCAGAGCAAGAGGAAGACACCUUUUUGUAGCAAAGACCACUGUCACCAAUUUAAGCAACAGGCAUCCACCCCGGCCUCAGUCUUUGGUAAUAGCCAUGAAGACCAUGAAUCCCAAGCAACAAAGAUGCAUUUGUGAAGAGUGAAUCACGGGAUCUCGGUUACCCAUUUCCCAUGUCAGGAGAGUUCUGAUAUUCAGGCUCUUUAAUCUAUUUAUCUAUUCUUUGCCAUUCCCUACCAAUAAUCCUCCUAUGGGAUCCCAGCCCACCCACACGAAGAGCCACAAUUCAGGACAUUAAUGUACCCAUCCCCUGCAAUCGGGGGAGUGAGCCCACCAUCAGUGGUCCUGCUGUAACACUCUGGGCAGCAAAGAAAAUGCAACCUUAGUCCCACAGCCAGCUGCAAAGGAUGCAGAAGAAUGAUUCCUGCAGGAACAUUUGGGAUGUCCUUGAAGAGGCAGCACAUCCUGAAGAACAGGUUCCUUUAUGGCUGCUGGGACAUCAGACUACAUAAACUCAGUCUUUCUAAAUGCACCAGGCUUCACGGUGGGAACCCCCUUACUUGUAUGUGCAAAUAUUAACACUGAUUUCAAUCUCAGAUGUUCUCUGGAGAUAGAAGCAGCUCAAAGCAGCAAAUUCAUCAUGUCUGUGCUGCCAAGGAUGAGAUACAGCAUAACCUGCAGUUUCAGUUAUACUGCUCUGGUCUUUAAUUCUAGCCAAGACUGUACCCCUAGUUGCUUUUAUGUUUUAGGGGAAAACAUUCAAUUAGGUGAAGAAAAAAUACUCCCUAGAAUUUCAGUUAUAUUUAUGUCCUCCUUAGAUGUCAUUGUAUAGAAACUACAUGAAGUAUCUAAAUUCCAAGCUGCUUUAGAGGCAAGAGGCAAAACCUUUCCAUCAAGAAUCCAUGCAACCCAGCCAGGGAAUGGAGACCCUGUGCCUGCUCUGCUGAGAACCUAGAUCCACCUAUAAAACUCUGCUUGUUUUAAAAAGGAAAAAGAGUUGUUAUCAGCUAGUGUCCACAUUUUUCAGCUUCCAAAAGGUAUCAAAUGCCACUGUGCAGUGUGUUCUGUCAGCUGUGCUGAUGCUAAUUAUUUUAAAUUUGGAAUCAGUAGCUGCUACUCGCAGUUCAUUGGCAGCACUGACCCCUGUCCGGCAGUACAGAGGGAGGUUUUGCAUGCUAAACUGAUCUAAGUUGACAAUUAGCAUUCCAGAAAAGAACAGUGAGCGAAUUUUCUUUGCAACACGUGGUUUCUCAGAUGAUGAAAUAGGGAAAAACAAAAAAAGAUUUACGGGAAAUUUAGGGUAAGUCAGAUUGAGACAGAAUAUUAACUCCAGAUAAAGUAUCAGGUCCUAUUUGUUUUUCCAAAUCCCAGGAGAAGAGUAGUUCUGACAUCUUGUAGGCAUUACAUCAGGCAAGCUGUAUUCUGAUAAUCUGUGUGAAUGAAAACUGCUUCCCACUUCACUCCGACUAAACACAGCAACAGGACACCUACGUCUAGACCAGCAAUAACUAUUACUGUAUCUUUUUUAGUGAGACUGUUAGCUGCAUUUGGGCAUGUAGCAAAUGAGAGAAAAAAGAGACUCACAAGGGAUAAAUAACAUGUCUAGAUAGCAAGGGCACUGUGACUCAUUGCAGUAACCUCAAAUGUUUAAGCAGAAAAAAAAAGAAGAACAAAAAACCCCACAGCCUACUACUCAGCACUCCCAUACUGAAGGUCAGUACAUUCAACAUCUGGAAAGUUUUUGCUAGCUUUGCAGCCCAGCAGAGUUUUGUUUUGCACAUCCUCCUACGCAAAGGAUCACAAGUGUAAAUGUUAAAGUUUACCUAAAUCUAUUGUGGGCUUUAUUUUCUCACAUUUAGUGCAAAGAAGACAUUCUCCUGUAAGCCAUAAUUGGUCUCCAGGAGAUAUCAAAACCACUCUGAUUAAGAGGAAGCUUUUAAUCAGUCAGAAACUCUUUCACUGUUAUUUAUUUGGAGAAUAAAAAAUGAGUUGGAAUGAGCUGCAGAAAAAUUUUGGUAAAUACUGUGAUAGUUUCCCCUUUCAGAUUUUAGAGCUGUUGGCUUUUCCAAGUUUCAUUUUCUGUUUAUAGGAAGACAAUUAGAUUCAGCAAGAGAAAAGAACAUGAAAAAUGCCAAAAGAGAUGACUACACUAAAGUGAUCCAACUGUAGGUGGGAGAGAUAUAUACAUAUACAUAUAUGUAUAUACACCGUGAGAAUCAAAAGGCUGCUCUUUGGCUGUAUCCAUUUGUUGAAAUUCGGAGCUGCUCAUCCUUAAUAAUACCUUAUCCAGAGGUAUUAUCUUUUUAAACAGCAAGUGUCUGCUUUGACUCAAAGUUACUUCCUGGUAUCAAAUUAAGAACAUGUCUAUAGGUCUUAUUUCCUUCAAUUUAUUGCCCUUCAUCUCUCUGCAAAUUUUAGAUCCUUCCCACAGCUUUCAGUUCAGAACUAACUAUUGCUAUGCACAAUCUUGAUAAGUGUCAUGGUUUUGGCUGGAAUAGUUUUCUCAUAGAGGCUUGUAUGGUGCUGUGUUUUGGAUAUAAGAUGAGAACUAUGUUGAUCACACACUGAUGUUUAGUUGUUGCUAAACAGUGCUGCACAGAGCCCAGGGCAUUUCAGCAUCUCACACUGCCCUGCCAGUGAGCAGCUGAGGGUCACAAGGAGCUGGGAACGGGCAGAACUGGGACAGCUGACUCAAAAUGAUCAAAGGGAUAUCCCAUACCGAAUGGCAUCAUGCUGAGCAAUGAAAGCUGGGGUAAACAAAGAGGAAGGAGGUGUCAUGGGAGUGAUGACAUUUGUCUUCCCUAGAAACCACUAGAAGUGAGUCCUGCUUUCCUGGGAGUGGCUGAACAUCUGCCUGCUGAUGGGAAGUACCAACUGAAUUCCUUGCUUUGCUUUGCUUCUAUGCACACCUUUUGCUUUACAUGGUAAACUAUAUUUCUUUAUCUCAACCCCCAGAUUCUCUCAAUUCUGCAGUUUCUGAUCCUCUCCCCCGUCCCGUUGGGGCAGAGUCAGCAAGCAGCUGUGUGCCUGCUGGCUUAAACCAAGUUGCCCAGAGAGCGUGUGGAUGCCCCAUCCCCGGAGGUGUUAAAGGCCUGGUUCAAUGGGGCCCUGGGCAGUCUGAUUUAGUACUUGGACUAGUGGUUGGCAGCUCUGCCUGCAGCAGGGCGGGUGGAACUUGGUGAUGCUUGAGGUCCCUUCCAACCCGAGCCAUUCUGAUUCUGUAAUUCUAUGGGUUACACCACAAGAGACCUUUUGGCACCCACAUAAGGCACAAAGGGUUCAAGGUGAUGACAGAUUGAAGUGUGCAGUGUGUUAGACCAAAUCUAUAGAAGUUACAGCUGUUUGCUGCUAAUUCGCAGGCUCCUGGGCUUGCCACAGGGCUUGCUUCCCUUACUGCAUGUUGGAGUCAGUGCUUGUUAGCAGCUGCUUUUGCUUCUACUGUUUGCUCCACUCCUUAUCAUCUUGCCUUUCUGUGCCUGGGAACAUUGUGAUAACAGCUGUGGCCAGGAGCCUGGCCUGGCAGCUGGCCAAAGCAUUGCAGCUGCUCCUGUGCUGCUGUACUGGACAGGGAACUCCAAACUGAUCUCAAAUCAAGGAUCUGUGACCCAUGGACAAGUCCGCAUGGGAGCAUGUACACCCCAAGACAUCUGUGGCCACAGAUAAGUUCACAGUGGAGUAUGUACGUGCCAAAGUGUCUGUGGCCAUGGAGAUAUCCAUGCUGCAGCAGGUAUACCUUGCAGUGUCUGUGGAUGAGGCCAUGCCAGCUUACCUUGAAGCCUCUGUGUCUGUGAAUAAUACUACAGAACAGUGUCUGAAGGGACCUCUGAGGGGUCUGUGACCAAUGAACAAGGCCGUGCCAGAGCCACACCUCAAAAUGAAUGUGUCUGUGGAUAAGUCCAUGCUGCAGAAGAGAUACGUCUGAAGAGGUUGUGGUCCAUCAGUAAACCAACACCAGAACAGGACUUGGUAGAACUGCAGGGAAAUGAAACUGAUCUGUUUGCUGUUGAGACAGAGAACCAGAACCAAAGAAAUGAUUGGUUUUUUAA